rnacentral:rRNA from 1 species
UACGUAGGGUGCGAGCGUUGUCCGGAAUUAUUGGGCGUAAAGGGCUCGUAGGCGGUUUGUCGCGUCGGGAGUGAAAUCCACUGGCUUAACUGGUGGCUUGCUUUCGAUACGGGCAGACUGGAGGUAUGCAGGGGAGAACGGAAUUCCUGGUGUAGCGGUGAAAUGCGCAGAUAUCAGGAGGAACACCGGUGGCGGAGGCGGUUCUCUGGGCAUGUCCUGACGCUGAGGAGCGAAAGUGUGGGGAGCGAACAGG